CCUAGGUGAUGCUGCAGUGGGGAAUAUUGGACAAUGGGCGAAAGCCUGAUCCAGCCAUGCCGCGUGUGUGAAGAAGGCCUUCGGGUUGUAAAGCACUUUCAGUGGGGAAGAAAGCCUUGGGGCUAAUACCCUCGAGGAAGGACAUCACCCACAGAAGAAGCACCGGCUAACUCCGUGCCAGCAGCCGCGGUAAUACGGAGGGUGCGAGCGUUAAUCGGAAUUACUGGGCGUAAAGCGCGCGUAGGCGGUCUGAUAAGCCGGUUGUGAAAGCCCCGGGCUCAACCUGGGAACGGCAUCCGGAACUGUCAGGCUAGAGUGCAGGAGAGGAAGGUAGAUUCCCGGUGUAGCGGUGAAAUGCGUAGAGAUCGGGAGGAAUACCAGUGGCGAAGGCGGCCUUCUGGACUGACACUGACGCUGAGGUGCGAAAGCGUGGGUAGCAAACAGGAUUAGAUACCCCGGUAGUC
rnacentral:rRNA from 1 species